rnacentral:lncRNA from 1 species
GUCACCUCUACUGCCGCCGCCGCCGCCGCCGCUCCGCCAGCUCUCACCUCGUCUCGCGAUACUAAGGGCGGGGAGCCUGACGAUGGGAGGGAGGGAGGGAGGGAGAGGGAGGGAGCAAGGGAAGGAGGGUGAGGCGUAACAGGGAGACCGGGUGUCGGGAGAACCAGAGGAGAGGAGACUGGAAAGAAGCGGGGAAGUGUGCCUGGGGCAGCUUCCGAAGGGGAACGGCGGGGACAGAUGAGGGGGGCGCGAUUGCAACCAGAGCGCCCGCGAGCUCCCGGAUUUCUUCUCUUUCCUCGCUAUUUCCCGCACACACAGCCCUGCAGCCCUCCCUUCUUCCUUCCUGGCUUGUGAUUAGAACGCAGCCGCAGGCGGAAGUGCAGUGACGCCAUCAGCCGUCGCCUGAGCCGUGGCGCGCGGGUGGCCGAAAGGCGAAAGUGAGAUUUCAAGGGCCGGGUCUGGGGCCCCGCGGGCGCGCAGUGCUGCGGCGUGUGGGGAGUACGGGGAGGCUGGAGAGGAGCCGGCCCCGGGCAGUGUGAGGUGCGGAAGCGCGGUCCAGACACUUUGCUGACGGGAGGCCGGUCCGCCAGAUCCGGGAGGUGGGGCCUCGUUCUGGACUGCUGUACGUAGUUUUAUUCCUGGUCAUUUUUUUCCACCGCCAAAUCGAGAGAUAGAGCUUUGGAUCAUGAGAGAUGGCGUCGUGUUGGGAAAAGAGCCUUCUUUACCUGAGUUUAAGCUCGGCUCAUAGACAUCCUCUACCUGAGUUUACACGUGUGUAAUAUGAAGGCAGUCGAUUAGGAGAUGUCUAAGAUCAUUACUUACACCUCAAGUUUCCAAGGGGAGGAAGACACGGGAAGGAUGCGUGGUCUGUGCCAGACUUUGUAGACGAUUCACUGAAUGACCCUGAUUUAGCUCUUCCGGCCCUCUUCGAUUCAGCUUGGAAGCAAGCAUAAAUAGUGAUUGUUGUCUGUAUACUUCUCUCGGAAGGAAUGCUGUUAUGGGAGUUGUGGGUUCAUUUUUAGGUGUCUGAAGAAGUUUCAGGACUUUUGAAAUGAUAGUGGAGCCCAUUGAACUCAGAAUUAUCCCUUUCUGGUCUAGUAGGAGUAUAGUGGCAUACGGAAAAUGAAGCAAACAUCAAAGACAGAUGUACUGGCACAAGAUUAAAAGUAUGUCUCAGCUGACAUAGUUGCCAUUUUAAGACUGCUUAGUUUAGCUGAAUAUGCCUGGAUUUUUUUUUUUUUUAGCAUUUUUUUUCUUUUUAGCAUUGGCAUACCAUAUGAAAUGUGGGCAGUUGCCAGUACUCUACAGAGUACCAAGGCAGAAUUGGCAAUGACUAAAUCAAUUCAUUCAAACAAAAAUUCAUCAUGUGCCUACUGUGCGCAUAAUUUGUGGAAUCAAAGUCUCUUGUUUCCAGGGGCUUUACAGUGUAAUAAGUGCUAUAGUAAAUAUAUAUACGGAGUGGUAACCAUCUGCCUAUUCCUCUCCUACAGUCGUUGCUGAGUUCCAGUGUAGAACAGAGCACUGCAUUGUGUAUCUCACCACUACUGAUUUAGAUUUUAUAAUUUCAGCUGCAUCCCUCCCUCCUACUUUGUAUAUUCUUCAGCAUCUUUUUCUCCCUUUCCACUUGAAUACUUUUCGCAAUCUUUAAAUCCCAGCCCAUUUUAUUAUAUGACUUUUAACUUAGACUUCACAAUUUUCCAAGUGCUAGAAAUUUCCUGAGAUUGCCUUUUCUCCAGUAUCAACGAAUGAGAGACUCCCUGUUCAUAUAUGAGAUAAACUCUUCAUACAUAUUCUAGUUCCAAUACCCCUCUUUCUCAUGCAUUUAUUAUCUUUUCUGUUGUCAACCUUCUACAAAUUCUGGUUCCUUAGCUAAUUCUUCUGUAGCUUUCAAUUAUUUCCUUCACAAGCAAACUUUCUUUCUUUAAAAAGUAUUCUAUACUCAGGAGGCUGAAGCAGGAGAAUCGCUUGAACCUGCGAGGCGGAGUUUGCAGUGAGCUGAGAUCCUGCUACUGCACUCUAGCUUGGGCGACAGAGCGAGACUCCAUCUCAAAAAAAAAGUGUCUACAAUCAGUGUCUUUUUUGUUUUCUGAAAUUGACUUGUCAGCCCUCUGCAGUCUAGUCUCUGUGUCUAUCGUGCUGUGCUACCAAAAAUGCUCUCUUUAAAGUAAUCUCAUUGUUUGGAAGAAAAUGAGUUUUUUGUUCUUUAAUAUAAUAGUGAAAUGAUGAUCCUGUUUCACUAGUAGGAUAAGGUUCAAAACUAUUAAAAUGGACAAGGCAUGUAAAGUCACUUUCUUUUAUUUUUAUCUUUUUUUCCCCCCGUUAGAACCUCUGGCAGGGACUGACUAGCCCAUGAAACUUAUUUCUUCUUCCCGGGCACACAGCUAAACUAAAUUUCACAGCUUUCCUUGUAGUUGGUUAUAGUCAUGUGAUGAACUUCUUUUUUUGAGACAGAGUUUAGCUCUUGUUGCUCAGGCUGGAAUGCAAUGGCACAAUCUCAGCUCACCGCAACCUCCGCCUCCCGUGUUCAAGCGAUUCUCCUGCCUCAGCCUCCCAAGUAGCUGGGAUUACAGGCAUGUGCCAUCACACCCGGCUAAUUUUGUAUUUUUAGUAGAGACACGGUUUCUCCAUGUUGGUCAGGCUGGUCUCGAACUCCCGACCUCAGGUGAUUCCCCCACCUCGGCUUUCAAAGUGCUGGGAUUACGGGCGUGAGCCACCGAGCCUGGCCGUGAUUAACUUCUAGCCAAUUAAAUAUGAAUGGAAAUGAUGUGCUCAUUUUUAGGGUUAAUGAAGUCCUCCUAUUCUCCCUUACUCUUUCUUCGUCAACUUGAUGCCUUUGAGCAUGGUGACCUUCAAAACUAUGUAUUGGAGAUGCCAAAGCCAGAAAAGAGAAGAAUGAGUGGCUGAAACAGUACUUGGAAGACAGCCACCCCAAUUAGAAACACCCCUUUUUGCACUUACUGUAAGAGAAAAAAUUGAGAUUUGAGAAUUUAUAUGUAUAGGAGCUAGAAUGACCAUAGCUAGUCCAGAAAUUGGUACAAGAAGUGGAGUACUGCUAAAACAAUAACCUAAAAUAUGUUACAUCAGCUUAUUUAUGAUGCAGCAGGUGGUAGAGAAUGUGAUUUGGAGGCUAGAAAAAGGAGGCCCAUGUUUGCAGUGGCAAAGUAAUUAGUAAAACUGUCACCUGAAAUAAUUCAAAAUCAGAUCACCUAUCUGUUUAGAUUAGCUCCAGAGGAAAUGAUUGAAAAGAGCAAAAGUAAUACUGUGUUGAAUUUUACAUUUUACUUUUAGUAAGGUUUUACUAAAGAGAGAAACUCAGGAAAUACUUCACAGAAGUGAGAGUGUACAGGAAUAUUUCUCAGGAAGGGUUGGAAAAGUUGACUUUUAUAAGACUUCUAAUAAAAAAAAAAAAAAAACUAGAAGAGGUCUUGAGUAUAGUUACCCUUGAGAUUAAGUCCUGCAACAAAGAUCAGGAAAAGGGUUUGGUCUUUCCAUUCAAAGUCAUUAUUUUAGAUGGCUUCAAGAUAGCUACGAUAAAGGUCUAAAGGAACUGGCAUAGGAGCAAGGCAGCAAAGCAGUAAAUUAGGCUUGAUAAUUAUGUAAGAAAGAACUUUGGGUGUAGUUACCAGAAGCAAAUCAAUCAGAAGACUACAUUUUUAGAGGAAUUUUAUUAAUCAUACUAAAUCUGGCUCAAAUAUCAUUGUUCGGGUGUUAAAACAGAGGGUAACUGUCCAACCCCAAGCUUGCAUAAGUAGAAAAAUAGAGCAUAAAACCUUAACAGCUCCCCAGUACCCACACAGGAUGUGGCCAUGGAGAAUGAUGGACAAAAAAAGAACAUUUCAGAAGCUCGUAUAAGGAGCUGUACUAAAGACUGGACAGGGAGUUUCUCCUGAAGACUAGAAUUGGAGUUUCAUCAGAACUUUCUUCAGUUUCAAGGAGAUGGGCCGCAAAAUGUUUAUGCAGUAUUUCAUCAUUAUUAUACAUGAAUAGUAUUGCUCAGUAUCACAUUUUUUUUCUGAAUGAGAGAAUGUAUUAUAGUUAUCUGUCCCUGAGUUACCACUAUAUAUUGGGUUUGCAGGGAUGGGGGUGACAAUAAAGAUAAUUUGUCUUUUUAGUUCUUAGGUCACAUCUGUACCUAAUGAAGAGAACUGCACAUUUUCUGAAAAUCCUAGACUUUGAGCCUGUUCCAGUAACUGGUUAAAACUUUAGAUUGUCUCCUUUGGGACAGGGUAUGUUCUGUGUGUGGAAAGACAGGUAAAAUACAUGUUUAGUGAUCAGAAUAGUAGAUUCUUGCAAAUGCUAAAUUCUUCUGGCCACACAGCUAUAUUUCCAUGCCUCUCUUGCAAUUAGGUAUAUGGGUUAGGUGUGCUGAUUAGGUUCUAACCAGUGGAAUGUGAGAAGUGAUGCACUCCUAUUCCAGCUCUGGCCUAUGGAAACAUCACAUGAGCAAUCCAAUAUAUCCCACUCCCCAUCAACUUGAGGCAGAUGAGCAAAUUUGCACUGGAAACUAUGUGUUAAAGAUGGCAAAGCCGCAAGAUAGGACUCCUGGUUUCCUGAAUCUUCACUUGGAGGAUACUUGCUUCCCAAUUAGAGACACUUGUGCUAGAGUUUCCUGACUCUUCACUGGGAGGAUACUUGCUUGCCAAUUAGGGACACUUGUGCUACAGCUCAUACGCAUUCUUUUGUGUUAGGCCACUGAGAUUUCAGAGCGUGCCCUAAUAAAGACCUGUCCCUCUUUCUCCAGAUGCAAUCGUUCAUUACCUAAUUCUAAUUUUUAUACCACAGGAGUAGGCCCACAAAUCAGGCUAGCCAAAGUAUCCUAUCAUUCAGCCAUAGUGAUUAGUUCAGGAAUGGGCAGAUUAACAAAACUGAAGUUAAUCAGAGAUAGUCUUAUCAUUUGGGCUAGCACUAUCAAGAAAAAGACACCUGCUUCUGGAAUAAGCAAAAAAAAAAAAAAAAAAAAACACAAGCUACAUCUGGCCUUUGGUCAUCAUGUCGAGUGAACCUGCCUAAGAAUGAAAUCUUACAGGGAAACAGAGGCAGUCUCAAUGAUACUGCAGAAGGGGAAGAUAUCCCAUGAAUUGAGAAAUAUUUCCUGGGUUUCUACUCGAUUGAAAUUCCAAGAGGUAAGGGAUAGAUACUGCCAGGAAGACUUGGGAAUUCAAAAGAGGAGCUCUCUGAGACUAGAGUCACAUCCUGACACGGCUCUUCUCCAAUGUGCUGGAGUCCUCAGCAUCUGCUGGUCUUGAUUCACUGAUGGGGGCAACCAGUGUCCCCUUAAGUGUCCGGGCAGAAACAUACUGUACCUUGGUUUUAGAAAGUAGGUUGGCAGGCAUCUUUCCUCAUUCCCAUCAAGGAGUUGGUACCUUCCACAGUGUAAGUUAUUUUCUCUGUUCUAGAGCUACUACAAAGUGCUAGGGAAGGAAAAUCUCCUAAAGCAGUCUGUCAUCAUGAAGGCCAAAUUAUGUAGCAGAAGAGCUUGGAAAAAGAUUAAGACGGUGGUGGGGAGGACCUUUGUCCUGGUGGCUUGAAGCCAUAGGGAAAGAGGUUCACUAAAUGCCAACAAAUGCUAAAAAAUAAAAAAAUAGACAAAACAGCGAGCCAGUGGCUUGUGCUCUGCUUUCCACCUGAAAGUUUGCCCAACAUAAGCAAUUAUAAUCAAGUAGAAAUUGAAGCAUAUGUUUAAGCAGAGAGGACCAGGUAACAUUGAUAACCACUGUCCUCCCAGCCACUGCCUUAAUUAGGCUUUCAUGAGUUUUCACCCACAUUAUUGCAAUAGUCAAUCUCCCUGCCUCUGAUCCUAUUAUACUCUACUUUAUCCUCCACAUUGACACCUGAGUUACUUCUCUACCUUGUAAAAACAAUUUAUUUCUGAGUACAAAAACACUACAUGUUCAUUGUAAAAUACUAAGAAAAUACAAAAAAGCACACAUACCAGAACAUGCAAUUCUAUCAUCUAGAGAUAUCCACUGUUGACAUUUUAGUACAAACCUUUACACAGUUGUUUUCUCUGUGUAUUUUUAAAUGAGAAUGCCACUGUUGUAUUUAGCAUGCU